GACGAACGCUGGCGGCGUGCUUAACACAUGCGAGUCGAACGGAAAGGCCCUGCUUUUGUGGGGUGCUCGAGUGGCGAACGGGUGAGUAACACGUGAGUAACCUGCCCUCGACUUUGGGAUAACUUCAGGAAACUGGGGCUAAUACCGGAUAGGAGCUCCUGCUGCAUGGUGGGGGUUGGAAAGUUUCGGCGGUUGGGGAUGGACUCGCGGCUUAUCAGCUUGUUGGUGGGGUAGUGGCUUACCAAGGCUUUGACGGGUAGCCGGCCUGAGAGGGUGACCGGCCACAAUGGGACUGAGAUACGGCCCAGACUCCUACGGGAGGCAGCAGUGGGGAAUAUUGCACAAUGGGCGGAAGCCUGAUGCAGCAACGCCGCGUGCGGGAUGACGGCCUUCGGGUUGUAAACCGCUUUCGCCUGUGACGAAGCGUGAGUGACGGUAAUGGGUAAAGAAGCACCGGCUAACUACGUG
rnacentral:rRNA from 1 species